rnacentral:rRNA from 1 species
AAAGCGAGUCUGAAUAGGGCGUUUAGUAUUUGGUCGUAGACCCGAAACCAGGUGAUCUACCCUUGGUCAGGUUGAAGUUCAGGUAACACUGAAUGGAGGACCGAACCGACUUACGUUGAAAAGUGAGCGGAUGAACUGAGGGUAGCGGAGAAAUUCCAAUCGAACCUGGAGAUAGCUGGUUCUCUCCGAAAUAGCUUUAGGGCUAGCCUCAAGUGAUGAUUAUUGGAGGUAGAGCACUGUUUGGACGAGGGGCCCCUCUCGGGUUACCGAAUUCAGACAAACUCCGAAUGCCAAUUAAUUUAACUUGGGAGUCAGAACAUGGGUGAUAAGGUCCGUGUUCGAAAGGGAAACAGCCCAGACCACCAGCUAAGGUCCCAAAAUAUAUGUUAAGUGGAAAAGGAUGUGGCGUUGCCCAGACAACUAGGAUGUUGGCUUAGAAGCAGCCAUCAUUUAAAGAGUGCGUAAUAGCUCACUAGUCGAGUGACACUGCGCCGAAAAUGUACCGGGGCUAAACAUAUUACCGAAGCUGUGGAUUGUCCUUUGGACAAUGGUAGGAGAGCGUUCUAAGGGCGUUGAAGCAUGAUCGUAAGGACAUGUGGAGCGCUUAGAAGUGAGAAUGCCGGUGUGAGUAGCGAAAGACGGGUGAGAAUCCCGUCCACCGAUUGACUAAGGUUUCCAGAGGAAGGCUCGUCCGCUCUGGGUUAGUCGGGUCCUAAGCUGAGGCCGACAGGCGUAGGCGAUGGAUAACAGGUUGAUAUUCCUGUACCACCUAUAAUCGUUUUAAUCGAUGGGGGGACGCAGUAGGAUAGGCGAAGCGUGCGAUUGGAUUGCACGUCUAAGCAGUAAGGCUGAGUAUUAGGCAAAUCCGGUACUCGUUAAGGCUGAGCUGUGAUGGGGAGAAGACAUUGAGUCUUCGAGUCGUUGAUUUCACACUGCCGAGAAAAGCCUCUAGAUAGAAAAUAGGUGCCCGUACCGCAAACCGACACAGGUAGUCAAGAUGAGAAUUCUAAGGUGAGCGAGCGAACUCUCGUUAAGGAACUCGGCAAAAUGACCCCGUAACUUCGGGAGAAGGGGUGCUCUUUAGGGUUAACGCCCAGAAGAGCCGCAGUGAAUAGGCCCAAGCGACUGUUUAUCAAAAACACAGGUCUCUGCUAAACCGUAAGGUGAUGUAUAGGGGCUGACGCCUGCCCGGUGCUGGAAGGUUAAGAGGAGUGGUUAGCUUCUGCGAAGCUACGAAUCGAAGCCCCAGUAAACGGCGGCCGUAACUAUAACGGUCCUAAGGUAGCGAAAUUCCUUGUCGGGUAAGUUCCGACCCGCACGAAAGGCGUAACGAUUUGGGCACUGUCUCAACGAGAGACUCGGUGAAAUCAUAGUACCUGUGAAGAUGCAGGUUACCCGCGACAGGACGGAAAGACCCCGUGGAGCUUUACUGUAGCCUGAUAUUGAAAUUCGGCACAGCUUGUACAGGAUAGGUAGGAGCCUUUGAAACGUGAGCGCUAGCUUACGUGGAGGCGCUGGUGGGAUACUACCCUAGCUGUGUUGGCUUUCUAACCCGCACCACUUAUCGUGGUGGGAGACAGUGUCAGGCGGGCAGUUUGACUGGGGCGGUCGCCUCCUAAAAGGUAACGGAGGCGCUCAAAGGUUCCCUCAGAAUGGUUGGAAAUCAUUCAUAGAGUGUAAAGGCAUAAGGGAGCUUGACUGCGAGACCUACAAGUCGAGCAGGGUCGAAAGACGGACUUAGUGAUCCGGUGGUUCCGCAUGGAAGGGCCAUCGCUCAACGGAUAAAAGCUACCCCGGGGAUAACAGGCUUAUCUCCCCCAAGAGUUCACAUCGACGGGGAGGUUUGGCACCUCGAUGUCGGCUCAUCGCAUCCUGGGGCUGUAGUCGGUCCCAAGGGUUGGGCUGUUCGCCCAUUAAAGCGGUACGCGAGCUGGGUUCAGAACGUCGUGAGACAGUUCGGUCCCUAUCCGUCGUGGGCGUAGGAAAUUUGAGAGGAGCUGUCCUUAGUACGAGAGGACCGGGAUGGACAUACCUCUGGUGUACCAGUUGUCGUGCCAACGGCAUAGCUGGGUAGCUAUGUGUGGACGGGAUAAGUGCUGAAAGCAUCUAAGCAUGAAGCCCCCCUCAAGAUGAGAUUUCCCAACUUCGGUUAUAAGAUCCCUCAAAGAUGAUGAGGUUAAUAGGUUCGAGGU